UUAAAAGAAAAUUUCUAUAAAUAUAUUUCGAAUUUAAAAGAGUUAAGAGUUUAUUAUUUUUAUUGUUUAAUAAAUAUUAGUAAUAAAUUUUUAGUAAUGAAACGUUAUUCGUUUUUAAAUAUAUCUAAUUUUUUAAGAAAAAAAUUUAAUUUUAUUAUUAUUUAAUAAUAUAUUAUAUUUUUAAUUUGUUAUUAAUAAUAUUAAAUAUUUAAAGGGAUGAGCUUUUAAAUAAAUAAUUAUAAUAUUUUUAUAAAAUUAAAAUUUAUAGGAUUAGAAUUUUUCAUUAUUAAUAGUAUGUUAUAAUUAAUUUAAUAAAAUUUUAUUUUUUAUAUUUUAUUUAAUUUUUUUAUUAAAAUAUAUAUAUUAAUUAAAUUUAUAUAGAAAUAAUGAUAAAAUUAGUAUAAUAAUAUUUUAAAUUUAUAUUUUAAUAUAAGAUUAUAUAUAGGAAUUCGGCAAAUGAAUUUUCACCUGUUUAUUAAAAACAUGGCCUUUUGAGUUUAAUUUAAGGUCUGACCUGCCCACUGAUAAUUUAAAUGGCCGCGGUAUUUU
rnacentral:rRNA from 1 species